rnacentral:lncRNA from 1 species
CUGGAGUGGGGGAGGCUCGGUGUCGCCCCCUAGCUGUCCUCCUGAAAUAUUCUGAGGCCAACUCUACCCCUCCCCCUCCCCCACAGCAACACAGCCCUCUGAGGUCCAGCGGCAACCAACUUGACCCUGGCCUAAAGGUGACCACUCCUGUUGCCUGGAAGAGGUUGGGUCUGCUGGCAACUAGCACCUUCGCCAAACCAAGCUUCCAGGUCAGGGCUGCCAACCAACCCCAGACUGGUAGGGAAUGGAGGUGGUUGUGUCCCAGAGGUCAGGGCACACGGGAACGGUGGCAGAUGACACUGGGGUGACGGCCACCCACCUCAAUGGGGCGCUAGGCCCAGCUUCCAAUGUGGCAGAAGGUCGCUCCUGGAUGGACACAAGGCAAAGGCCAGGCCGCUGUGUGCACUUGUGUGGACUCCAGUCUCGUGGGACAAUCAAUCGUCCAGUGGGUCUGCUGUUCCCAAGAGACAGGAGAAGGGCCACAGGAACACUUGGUAUUCUUU